GGAAUAAAAGAAGAGAAGAGAAGACAAUUCUUGCCACGGAAAGAAAGGAAAAAGUCGAAAUAUUCCUUUUCCUUCUUCUCCUUUUCUCUCUUUUCCUUUUCUUCUCCCGCU
rnacentral:ribozyme from 13 species